GACGAACGCUGGCGGCGUGCUUAACACAUGCAGGUCGAACGGAGCGUCACGGAAAGAGAUUUCGGUCAAUGGAAGUGAUUGCUUAGUGGCGGACGGGUGAGUAACGCGUGAGGAACCUGCCUUUCAGAGGGGGACAACAGUUGGAAACGACUGCUAAUACCGCAUAACAUAUCUGUAUCGCAUGGUAUGGAUAUCAAAGAUUUAUCGCUGAGAGAUGGCCUCGCGUCUGAUUAGCUAGUUGGUAGGGUAACGGCCUACCAAGGCGACGAUCAGUAGCCGGACUGAGAGGUUGGCCGGCCACAUUGGGACUGAGAUACGGCCCAGACUCCUACGGGAGGCAGCAGUGGGGAAUAUUGGGCAAUGGGCGCAAGCCUGACCCAGCAACGCCGCGUGAAGGAAGAAGGCUUUCGGGUUGUAAACUUCUUUUAACCGGGAAGAGCAGAAGACGGUACCGGUUGAAUAAGCCACGGCUAACUACGUGCCAGCAGCCGCGGUAAUACGUAGGUGGCAAGCGUUGUC
rnacentral:rRNA from 1 species